rnacentral:rRNA from 1 species
GACAGAGGUGCCGAGCGUGAGGCGGAAUCACUGGGCUUAAAGCGUGUGUAGGCGGACAAUUAAGUACCUUGUGAAAUCCCACGGCUUAACCGUGGAACUGCUGGGUAUACUGGUUGUCUUGAGCCACUUAGGGGCGAGCGGAACAAAUGGUGGAGCGGUGAAAUGCGUAGAUAUCAUUUGGAACGCCAAUGGUGAAAACAGCUCGCUGGGAGUGUGCUGACGCUGAGACACGAAAGCCAGGGUAGCGAACGGG